UUCUCUUCUCCUCCCUCAUCUCUUUCACCAUAGCCGAAGCUGCAGAGAUUGUUGAAGUCCAACGGUCAAGCGUUGGGGCCACCGUUCUUCACCUUUCUCUUCUCUUCCACCAUAGCCUCUCUCGCUUGCUCUUCACCUUUCUCUUCUCUUCCACCAUAGCGAGAGAAGAACGAUUGGCCUCCCUCUCUCUCUUGCUCUUCACCUAUCUUUUCUCUUCCACCAUAGCCGAAGCUUCCGCCAUGGCCAAAGACCACCAGCCCGUCGGCGAUCCACGCCACCGUUGUCUACAUCUUCUUCACAAGCCCUCACUCUGUUCACGUCUCCACCAUGGGUUUGUCAGCAAAUAUUUUCCCUUCUAGUCGAAUUGAAUAUUUACGAGAGCUCUCUUCUGUAGGUCAGAUGGUAUAGAGCAUCUUGGAUGUGGACUAAUGGGAAUUUGUGCUCCAAUUCAACAUUCUAGUCUUGUUUGGUAUUAUUGGUGUUACUGAUAAGUGCUUGGAGGCCCUGUCAAGGUUCUGCUCAAACACACUUACAACCUUCGAUGUGAAUGGAUGCAUUGGCAUCAAGAGACAAAGUCGUGAAGAACUGCUUCAGUUGUUCCCACAUCUGAGAUGCUUCAAAGUGCACAGCUAAAGUUAUAUGCUUUAUGAAGUCAUAAUCAUUUCCUGCCAUCGACGUUCAUGGCGCUGUCUUGGAGAAAUGUUGCCGAUAUGCAGUUAAUUCAUUAGGGACAGAAAAUACUCAAGAUGUUCAAUAAACAGAUGAGAUUGAUACACAAGAUAUUUGAUAAACAGAUGAGAUUGAUAUAUGACAUGUGAUUUGAUAGAUGUAACCUUACUAAAUGAGCCGUCCUAUUUUGGGUAGUUAAUUAUGAGAAGCGUAUAUUUUUUAAUUAUAUGCAAGUAAAAUUAUAAUCAAGGAAGCAGGGGAAAUUAAAAUAUGCUCCUGUGACUAUUGUGAUGUUACCACUCUACAGUUAUUUUUUAAGGUUACCACAAAGGUGGUUGAAGAUGUUAUUUUUUGUUGACAACAGAGUGAUGGUUAAUAUUGUUGUUUCUAUAUUUGAUUCUGAGAUUUUCCUAUGGAACUGUGGGUUGAGUUAGUUUUUUCUGAAUUGCAAAGAGCUAAGAGGGCUUUGGGUGACACUAUUGCCAGGGUAAUGGCAACUGUUACAAGGUCAAUGCACAACAAUGGGAACUAUUGCAACACUGUGAAUCUCGAGGAUGCUGCUUUGUACAAGGGCCGACUUGAGAGAUUCUUCAUGGACCUGCGUGCUGAUCUACAAUCUCCAAUGCUACCCAUUAUUCAGGUGGCAUUGGAAUCAGGACAGGGACCUUAUAUUGAGAAAGUGAGAGAAGCUCAAUUGGGAAUACAUCUUGCCCUAGUAAAAUGUGUGGAUGCUAGGGGACUGCAGCUGGAACCAGAUCAUCUACAUCUUGCCCAUUUUUUUUUUUUUUAACCUCGUGUUUAGAUAUUUGAACUUCAUAGUUGAAGAGGAUAUCAGUUGAUUGUACUAACUUAUUAAUUAGGGCCAAAAUAUUGGCUAAAGAGUAUAUCAUGCAAUGAAAUUUUGUCCA